UAAGGAAUAUUGGUCAAUGGACGCAAGUCUGAACCAGCCAUGCCGCGUGGAGGAUUAAGGCCCUCUGGGUUGUAAACUCCUUUUAUCUGGGGAGAAAUGUACUUUUUCUUGAGUACUUGACGGUACCAGAGGAAUAAGCACCGGCUAACUCCGUGCCAGCAGCCGCGGUAAUACGGAGGGUGCAAGCGUUAUCCGGAUUCACUGGGUUUAAAGGGUGCGUAGGUGGGCAGGUAAGUCAGUGGUGAAAUCUCCGGGCUUAACCCGGAAACUGCCGUUGAUACUAUUUGUCUUGAAUAUUGUGGAGGUAAGCGGAAUAUGUCAUGUAGCGGUGAAAUGCUUAGAUAUGACAUAGAACACCAAUUGCGAAGGCAGCUUACUACACAAUCAUUGACGCUGAGGCACGAAAGCGUGGGGAUCAAACA
rnacentral:rRNA from 1 species